rnacentral:rRNA from 1 species
UACGGAGGGUGCGAGCGUUGUCCGGAAUCACUGGGCGUAAAGGGCGCGUAGGUGGCCCGUGGAAGUCUGCGGUGAAAGCCCGGCGCUCAACGCCGGGUCGGCCGUGGAUACUCUCGGGCUUGAGCUUACUAGAGGCAGGUGGAAUUCCCGGUGUAGCGGUGGAAUGCGUAGAGAUCGGGAAGAACACCGGUGGCGAAGGCGGCAUCCUGGACCGGCAUUGACGCUGAGGCGCGAAAGCCAGGGGAGCAAACGGG